CUCCAGCCUGGGCGACAGGGCGAGACCUGGAGUGCAGGCACAAUUAUGGCUCCCUGCAGCCUUGACCUCCCCAGGUUCAGGUGAUCCUCCCACCUCAGUUUUUCUAUUUUUAGUAGAGCCCUCCACCUCCCGGGUUCAAGAGAAUCACUUGAGCCCCAGAGGCAAAGGUUUCAGUAAGCCGAGAUCGUGCCACUGCACUCUAGCUUGGGCUACAGAGUGAGACUCCAUCUCACACACACACACACAAAAGAAAUGAAAACAACAAUUUGUACAUGAGUUCAAAACAGAAUUAUUUAUUUCCCAAACUAGAAACAAUCCAAAUGUCUAUCAACAGAUAAAUGGAUAAGCAAAUGAUGACACAAUUGCAUUAAUGGAAUACCACUCAGCAAUGAAAAGGAACAAACCACUCAUACCUACAACACAGAUGAGCCUCAGAAACGUGAUGCUAAGUGAAAGAAGCCAGACCAAAAAAAUUAUAUGCUAUUAUUCCAUUUCUAUGAAAUUUCUGGAAAAGGCAAAAACCAUGCAAAGUAGAUCAGAGGUUGGCUGGGGGUGAGAGCAGAGACUGACUACAAAUAGGCCCAAGGGAACGUUUUGGGGUGAUGGAAGUUUUCUAUAAGUGGAUUAUGGUGAUGGCUACACAACAGUAUAAAUUAAAGGUCAUCCAAAU
rnacentral:lncRNA from 10 species